CCAUUACUAUUAGUAGUAUCAGCAUCUCCAUCGAUGUCCACGAUUAUAUUCACAUAAGACUCUGCCGUAGGUGCCAGGCUCCUUUUGCACUGCUACAUCUGAUAUUCAACUAGGGUUGUUGCUUCAGGAUUGCCGGAGACUUUUAGCUGCAGCUACGUUUGUGUGUAUCAAAGCACGUACGUUCGUCGAUUUUGUGGCGGGUGAAGCUCUUACUUAUCCAUACUUGUCAAAACGGCUACUUGACUUGCGUGAACAAAGCUGGAAGCGUGAUUGAGAAGUGAAAUAUAGCAUGCAGGCUGGCAGAAGCAUGGGCGCACAUGGUAUCUAUGAUCAUUGAGCAAAACAAACAGCAAAGAGUUCCCACAGAAACACACGCUAAUAAUUGGAAAUCAACAAGAACAGCCCUCGUUUUCUGGACAAUGACCAUCAUAUUCGUAACUGUUUCUGCCCACAUUUUCUUUGUUAGAAAGAAUAUCCGGAUCUUUUUUCAAUCGAAUCUUUGAAUUUCCACAUUUCCCUUGUAUUUAAUAUUCAUCAUUAUUAUCUAUUUGCAUGCAUUUCUCUCUGGACCUGUUCUGCCAGCGGGUAUCCUCAAAAUCUUAUAUAUGUUGUUAUGUUUGCUUCAAAAUUAAUUUCAAAUAAUAACUAGAAAAUAUAAUUCACCGUAGCCUUUUUAUAAACUAAACUUUAAACAGAAGAGAAAUUUGCUUACUUUUCCUCCCAACCACAUCAAGUUGAUGCUUACUAGUUGCCAAAGUCGUCUUCUUCAUAUCUGUAGUUUAUUUAUCCGUCUCCUUUCCCCUCCUUCGCUGCCGCUUUUUCUGAAUAAAAUGAUAGACUAGUACUGCAUUAGUCUUCUUCUUCAACUCUUCUCUGCUCUGCCCGACUUCGGAUUUUCACAAGGAUCCAAUUCCCACCCGCAAUAUAAUGUCCCAAUCCUCCCCUUUCCCCUCCUGCUUCCGCCCUAAUUCCUCCGCCGAUCAUCCUCCUCCACCGCCUCCCCCCACCGGUAAGCCCAAUCUCACCACCUGCUUCUACCAAACCCAACUCGGCGUUUUCUCCCUAACUUGGUCUCGCUCCUUCCUCACCCACUCUCUUCACCUCCAUCUCCUCCCAGCCACUGACCAACACAAUAGCACCACCACCAACUCUCCUCUUU
rnacentral:lncRNA from 1 species